AAUCUCACAUAGCAGGAACUUUUCGAAGGAAAUUUAAUUCUCUGAGACUAAUGCUAAAUACUACAUGGACGUAACAGUAGAUUCCUGUUCCAACUUUAACUCAAUUCACUAUACAAAACCAGAUAUCGCUUUUUCAUAACAAUGUUCGAAAAAACUUGAAAUUGCAAAUCACAGUCCCAUUUUAUACGUUCAGGUUGGUGUAAGACACAACACUAUUGAAUACUGUGAAAAAGAGAUUUUUAUAUUCAAUAAAAAAAUAUUCUUGAAUGACAAGUUGCGACCGCGUCAGGAUGGAAAGUUUAUUCGAUACAUCAAGAAUACAAACUUCUACAUCUUCAAAGUUCUCAAAAACGAGACCAAUGAAAUGAAAUGUAUUCAAAUAAGACAGUAUAAGUGAUAAAGUUGACAAUACAGGAAAAAUAAACGUUACUGAAGAUGUCGGUGAAGGAAACGCGUUAGUUUGUAGAGUUCAAAAAUUUUUUGUGAAAAUUGUAAAAAGUAUGAACAAUGUUUUAUAUCAGAUAACUAUGAGGAUAAUAAAAAGGAUGGAAACACGGCUUAGACAGAGCAAGGGAGAGCCGUCACAAAUGCCAUUUUUUGAUAAUAAGACUAUCGAGGGUUGUCUCUCGGAUAGUACCAUUGAUCAAUUAUUAAAAUUCUAUGGUCAAGCUUUCAAAUACAAUGAAUAUAACCUAGAUAUUAUCGAAAAAGCUGUAUGUAUAACUUUCUUCCAUAUACUAUCGGUGGAUGACAAUCAAUUUCAAAAUUUAUCUUCAAAGGAUUGGUGUAAACAUAUAAUAGUUGGAGCAAAGCUUUAUCUACAAGAAUUCGUUACAUGAGCCUGUUAUGUUGACUGUGAGACCACUUUACAAAAAUUUGACAAAUUCAGAUGUAUCGAAGAAAUAUCUCGUAGAGAAAAUACAAUGUAAACGAAUCAUUCAAUAACAUUCUGUGAACAAAUGUACCAAAAAAUGUAUUUGUGGAGUCCCAUACAUUGAAGUUUAGUAUAUAUGAUGCUAUUGUCAUAUUUACUGUUAGUAAAGCAGGCAAAUUGGAAAAGCUAAGAGAUGAUAAAACGACUAUAUUAAAGAAACUGAACAAGCAAUAAAUUGGCAAAGCAAAGUUACAAGCCUAUAUAUUGUUUAAAGAAACAAGAUCUUUGGAAAAAUGAAAGAGAACAGAAAAAGAUGAACAUUAUAAUGGUGGAUAAUUUUUACUAAAAAGUAAAUAUUUAUUUAAGUUACAUUUUAUUCGCAAUUUCUAAAAAACUUUAUUCUUUUAAACAAUUAAUUCAUUUUCUUAGAAACUAUUUAAGAUUGAUUUUUAAUUUUUUUGCUCAAUAAACCAUAUUCAAAACGUAUUAUUCAGAAAUAUAUUACUUUAUUAAUGACUGAUAUAAUCAAUCUAAUAUUAGCAGUGGAUGAAAAAACUUGAAGUAGAAGAAAAACGUUAACUUCGCAUUUUUAUUUAUUUUUGAUUUUCUACUGCACAAUUAUUUCAAUUAAAAUUUUUAUAGUUUUUGUACCGAUCGGUUUAAUACUGACCAUUUAUACUAUGUAUUGAUAAUUUAUUAUUAACGAUGACCAUUAAUUUAUUUAAAUCAUCGAUUAAAAAUGCUGAAAAAUAUUGACCUCAUAAAUAAAAACUUUAGUUAAAAUAGAAAUAGAACUUCGCUUUUAUCGUGUUAUAUCGUGUCAUAUAUACGAUCGGUUGAACUUUUUUUUUAUAAAAUGAAUUAUUUUUUAAUUAUCUACCUCUCGCUCUAGAAAUAUCAUAUAUUUCAUUUAAAUUGAAAAUAAUAUAAUAUCGUGGAACGUGAAUUCUUUUGAUAACAUAUUAUUUAACGUGACAUUGUAAGAAACUAAGAUGAGCGAUGACUAAUUCCAUAAAUACUUGUAUAUGUCCUUGCCUUAUUGUUUAUGUCCUUGGGUAUAUCUAAUGAGAGCAGUUGUUUUGUAAAAAAAAAUGUUGGAAAUAUAGAGAGGUCAUAGAAAGUUUCUUGUAGAAUGAACGACUGUUCAUUUAAUCUUUCACGUUAACAAUAGGUACGUUAUUUCGAGGCUAUAAGAAUUUGUAGUUUAGAUUUUAGUUAUAAACUGUUCGACUAAGUUAGAACAUCGUACGUCAAGUUUGUGAUAUGCCAGAGGAUAGAGAAGUUUCGUAGGACAUAAAAGGAAGAUGAUACUGUAUCAAAAUAUAUCUGCAAUUGAAACUACCAUUUGCGGAAGAUUACAAGCCUCAAGAAAAAAAAAGAGAACGAAGGAAUAAUUACGUAAUUCCAGUGGAUUAUAAAGUUAAAGUAAUUAUUGAUUUUAAAUAAUCUUCCGAGAAAGAAAAACAAAAUAGAGUGUUACAGUUGAGAAUUUAUAGAGAAUUUAACGAUAUGGAUAGAACAUGUUGAAAAUGGCGGAUAGAUUAAAUUAUGCAGCCAACGAUUGUUAGUUUCUAUCUUAGAAUUGAGAGCAUUCAAUAAUAUUGUUAACAGGUAAAAUACAGGAGGUUUUCAGCGAUAUUCUUUGUCUGCUGUAAGUCAAUUUCAAAAUUUGAAUUUAACAAUGCUCCGGUUUACGUAUUAUCAAACGAUUCGAACAGAAGCAUCAAAUACAUUAAGAAAAAGAAAUUAACAAAACACAUAUUCCAAAUAAGAAAAAGGAAACGACAAAAAGUGAAACGAUGACUUGUGCGAGAAAUUUUCUGAUCCAAAUUUAUGCUCUCAUAUCGCAAGAAAAUUCAUUGAUUUCUCGGAGAAAUUCUCGGAUCAGAAUUCAUGCUCUUCUACCUCAAGAAAGUUCGUUGGCUUGUGUGAGAAAUUUUCAAAUAAAAAUUCGUGUUGUCGUAUCAAAAUAUCAUUCCAACUUUAUCAUUGAUACGGUAUUUGAAAGGUUUACAAAUAUUGAACAGGUUGCCUAUAUCACUUUAUCUUGGACUGAACAAUUGUUCAUCAGGAUUCAAAACCAGUUUUUUUUUCAAAACGAUGAAAAUUGAUCAAGUAGAAUACUGUUUAGAAAAAUGCUGUCCGAAAAAAUGAUUACCUUUGAUUUUCUGUCUAUUUGUAAAUGACAAUUGAAGAUCAUUUAGACCCAGAAAGAGAAAGAGAGAGAGAGAGAGAGAGAGUUUCGUUGAAUUUGUUCAGAAUUGUUCACAGUUGGUCGUAAAUUUCAUAUAAAACGUGAAAUUUUAUUAUCAAUAAGGUACUAUAAAAAAUAACGAUUAUCAAAAUUUGUCGAAAUUAUUAAUCUUAAAAAUUUUCUCUUCGACUAUUUAUAGACACAAAAUGAAUUACAAACAUUAAUUACAAUUUAUUGUAGUUUACUAUCUGAAUAAUAAGUUUAUUGCAGCUUAAAAUUUAUUUAUAAAUUCACAAAUUUGUUAAUAAUUUAUGCAUUAUUAAUAUAUAAUUUAUUUUUUUACAUAAUAAAUUUACUAUCACGCAUUUCAAUAUAGUAAUACAUGAGUUAUUUAUUGUAUUUAAGGACGAAUUUUUAAAAGUAUUGAAAAAGUAUAUAACAAAAAAAAAUAAAAAUAAGUUACAAAUAAGAUGAUAAUAAUAAUAAUUCGAGUUGAAUCGUUAUAUAUUCGAAAUUUUCAAAAUGCUGUCCAUUGUAUCAUAAACUCUACCAUGUUAAAAAUUAUUUUUAAAUUGAACUAUUUUUAAGUCGAAUGGUUUUUAAAUCUAAUGUAAAUAGAAUAAUUUAUGGAGCAUAUACAAAUUUUGUUAAAUGUCAAAAAUUGUUAACAGUAUAAAAGACAAUUUUCUUUUUUACAAUAUGAUGUUAAUAAUAUAAAAGAUUAUCUUGUUUCUUACAAUAUGAUCGGUUUAUUAAAACAUAAAUUUAUUGUUUUAAAAAACUAAUUAAAUUGUCGAACUGAUUCCAUUGGAUCAAGUAUAGCUUCAAAAUCUUAUUGGCACCUCUUGUAAUCAAGAAAAGUUCUUUUGUACUCCUUUCAUAAGAAUAAUCUGAUAUCUAAAUGUAGUAUUUUUUUGAAAAUCGCAAAGUACAGAUCGAAAUGUAAGACCAGUCAAAAUUUACAACGAGUGAACCAAUCUUACACUAUUCAGUAUAUUAGUUUUAUAAUUUUUUUUAUUUCUGAAUAUGUCUAAGUGUUCAUAAGAAAAUUAUUGAAAAACAUUCAGAAUAUUAGUAAAGAAUGUUCUGAUGGAUAAAAUUUUGAGUUUGAAAAUGAACAAAUUGAAAGCAAGGAAGAUUUAUUUAUCACUGAAGAAAUUGAAAGUGAUCAUGUGAUACCGACGAUAAAAAAAAAGAGCACUGUGAAUGCCCAUAGAGAACAAAAGCGCAGAAGAUUUUUAUCAGAAUCCGAAAGUGAAAGUGACUAAAAUGUCCAGUAUAUUCAAGUCGCUCUUGAUGAAACUGUUUAGCAACAAAUAAUCCAAGAUCCAACAAUUGGCAUACCAUCACACAUUGUGUUUCAAAAAGGUAUCAAGUCCAAUAGCAAAACGAAAUAUUAUAUUUGGUAAAGUUGAAACGACAUUUUUCUUGAUAAUCGAUAAUAUUAUUAUGGAGUACAUCAAAAAGUAUACGGAAGUAAAAGCGUUGCAAAUUCUACGUACAAAAUUGAUUCUAGCGAUACCAAAAUUAUACGCUUUCAUCGCAAUUCUAUGCGUACUUGGUGCUUAUCAAACAAAAAAUUUACCCAUUUCAUAUUUAUGAAAUUCGAAAUGGGAACCUGCCUUUUUUCGUCAAACUGUGAACAGGAACACUUUCAUCGAAAUUUUAAAAUUUCUUCGGUUCGAUGAAAUUACAUCUACUACUAGUAAACGUACGAAGAAGAAUGUUAUCUGCAAAUAAUGCAAUUAAAAAAUUAAAACCACCCUUCUAUCACUAAGUAAAGUAAAUACUAGUCCUAUGUUUAUGUUAUUUAUGAUAUAUAAAUAAAAAUGAGAAUAUA